UGGGGAAUAUUGGGCAAUGGGGGCAACCCUGAUCCAGCGAUGCCGCGUGAGUGAAGAAGGCCUUCGGGUCGUAAAGCUCUUUAGGUUGGGAAGAAGGGUAUGGUAUGAAUAAGACUGUGCUUUGACGGUACCGACAGAAUAAGCACCGGCAAACUCUGUGCCAGCAGCCGCGGUAAUACAGAGGGUGCGAGCGUUAAUCGGAUUUACUGGGCGUAAAGGGCGCGUAGGCGGUGAGAUGUGUGUGGAGUGAAAGCCCCGGGCUUAACCUGGGAAGUGCUUCGCAAACUAUCUGACUGGAGUAUAUGAGAGGGUGGUGGAAUUUCCGGUGUAGCGGUGAAAUGCGUAGAGAUCGGAAGGAACGUCAAUGGCGAAGGCAGCCACCUGGCAUAAUACUGGCGCUGAGGCGCGAAAGCGUGGGGAGCGAACAGG
rnacentral:rRNA from 1 species